ensembl:lncRNA
GUUAAACCAGAGCAGCUAAUCUAGGCAGUCCUUCAGCUCUGGAGCCUGACACCAGUGCUCUAGUCACCUUUUUAUAAACAUACAUUCAACCAUUUAGUCUCUGCAGAUGAAAACAUGACCUGAGGUGAGACUGGAAAGUCUGGAGGCAGAGAUAUAGCAUGAAGAGUGAAAGAGCAGGAUUGAGGCAGAUUGUUAGAGGAGAAAUAACAGGAGGAACCGAGCCUGCAGAGCGGAGGAGUGGAUGUGCCGGGUGAAACAUAGUGGAAGAUGAUUGACGUGAAGCGACAGGUGCCAGGAACGUCACACCUUCACCUGAAGAGGCUCGACGGAUUAGACAGGUGGUGAGGGACUCGAGUCGGAGAGGAGAAACGAGUGGGAAGGAGACUGAGUGUGAAACGGGGAAGACAAGAUGGGGAGAGAAUAUGGAUAGAGAGGACGAGACCGCAAAGAGAAGAGAGAAACAGAAAGGAGACUUCAGUGCGUAUAGUCAUGUUUGUCUGUUUUACAUUUUUUGGUGAAGGGAAGAAAGGAAGGAAGUGGAGCGAUGGAUGGAUGGAUUGCUCAGAGAAAUAAAAAAAAAUUGGUGAGAAAGAAGAAGAAAGGAAUGAAGAAAGAAAGUGGACGAUGGGUGGAUUGCUCAAAGAGAGAAAUAGUGGUGAAAGAAAGGAGAGGAAGAAAGAAAGACAAAAAGAAAGGAAGAAAGAAAUGGAUGAUGGACGGACGGAUGGAUUGCUCAAAGAGAGAAAUAGUGGUGAAAGAAAGGAGAGGAAGAAAGAAAGACAAAAAGAAAGGAGAAAGAAAAUGGAUGAUGGAUGGAUUGCUCAAAGAGAGAAAUAGUGGUGAAAGAAAGGAGAGGAAGAAAGAAAGACAAAAAGGAAGGAAGGAAGAAAGAAAGUGGAUGAUGGACAGAUGGAUGGAUUGCUCAAAGAGAGAAAUAGUGGUGAAAGAAAGGAGAGGAAGAAAGACAAAAGGAAGGAAGGAAGAAAGAAAGUGGAU